rnacentral:tRNA from 4 species
GGCAGUAGCUCAGUUGGUAGAGCAUCAGCUUCCCAAGCUGAGGGUCACGAGUUCGAGUCUCGCUUGCC